rnacentral:rRNA from 1 species
UACGAAGGGGGCUAGCGUUGCUCGGAAUCACUGGGCGUAAAGAGCUCGUAGGCGGUCUGUCGCGUCUGCUGUGAAAACUCAGGGCUUAACCCUGAGCUUGCAGUGGGUACGGGCAGACUAGAGUGCGGUAGGGGAGACUGGAAUUCCUGGUGUAGCGGUGAAAUGCGCAGAUAUCGGGAGGAACACCGGUGGCGAAGGCGGUUCUCUGGGCCUGUACUGACGCUGAGGAGCGAAAGCGUGGGGAGCGAACAGG